rnacentral:rRNA from 1 species
UUGGAGGGCAAGUCUGGUGCCAGCAGCCGCGGUAAUUCCAGCUCCAAUAGCGUAUAUUAAAGUUGUUGCAGUUAAAAAGCUCGUAGUUGAAUUUCGGGGUCAGUAGGUCGGUCGUGCCACUGGUAUGAACUGGUUUUACUGAUUCCUCCCUCUUGAAGAACUGUAAUGCCAUUAAUUUGGUGUUGCAGGGAAUCAGGACUGUUACUUUGAAAAAAUUAGAGUGUUUAAAGCAGGCUUUAGCUUGAAUACACUAGCAUGGAAUAAUGAAAUAGGACGUUUGAUCCUAUUUUGUUGGUUUCUAGGAUUGACGUAAUGAUUAAUAGGGAUAGUUGGGGGCAUUAAUAUUCAAUUGUCAGAGGUGAAAUUCUUGGAUUUAUUGAAGACUAACUACUGCGAAAGCAUUUGCCAAGGAUGUUUUCAUUAAUCAAGAACGAAAGUUAGGGGAUCGAAGACGAUCAGAUACCGUCGUAGUCUUAACCAUAAACUAUGCCGACUAGGGAUCGGAUGAUGUUAAUUUUUUAAUGACUCAUUCGGCGCCUUACGGGAAACCAAAGUGUUUGGGUUC